rnacentral:rRNA from 1 species
UUAGCAAUACAUGGCGAACUGCUCAGUAACACGUGGACAACCUGCCCUUAGGACGGGGAUAAACCCGGGAAACUGGGUAUAAUACCCGAUAGGUCUCGAUUGCUGGAAUGCAUCGAGAUUUAAAGCUCCGGCGCCUAAGGAUGGGUCUGCGGCCCAUCAGGUAGUAGUGGGUGUAGCGUACCUACUAGCCUACGACGGGUACGGGUUGUGAGAGCAAGAGCCCGGAGAUGGAUUCUGAGACACGAAUCCAGGCCCUACGGGGUGCAGCAGGCGCGAAAACUUUACAAUGCUGGCAACAGCGAUAAGGGAACCUCGAGUGCCAGGUUACAAAUCUGGCUGUCGAGAUGCCUAAAAAGCAUUUCAUAGCAAGGGCCGGGCAAGACCGGUGCCAGCCGCCGCGGUAACACCGGCGGCUCGAGUGGUAACCGUUAUUAUUGGGUCUAAAGGGUCUGUAGCCGGCCGGAUAAGUCUCUUGAGAAAUCUGGCAGCUUAACUGUCAGGCUUUCAGGAGAUACUGUCUGGCUCGAGGCCGGGAGAGGUGAGAGGUACUUCAGGGGUAGGGGUGAAAUCUUGUAAUCCUUGAAGGACCACCAGUGGCGAAGGCGUCUCACCAGAACGGACCUGACGGCAAGGGACGAAAGCUAGGGGCACGAACCGGAUUAGAUACCCGGGUAGUCCUAGCCGUAAACGAUACUCGCUAGGUGUCGGCCACGGUGCGACCGUUGUCGGUGCCGUAGGGAAGCCGUGAAGCGAGCCACCUGGGAAGUACGGCCGCAAGGCUGAAACUUAAAGGAAUUGGCGGGGGAGCACCACAACGGGUGGAGCUUGCGGUUUAAUUGGAUUCAACGCCGGG